rnacentral:rRNA from 1 species
CAAUAGCGUAUAUUUAAGUUGUUGCAGUUAAAAAGCUCGUAGUUGGAUUUCGGGUGGGACGCAGCGGUCUCGCAUUGCGUUUGCACUGCUGCAGCCCUCCUUCUUGCCGGGGGCGGCCUCUCGGACUUCACUGUCUGGGGGUCAGAAUCGGCGAUGUUACUUUGAGUAAAUUAGAGUGUUCAAAGCAAGCUUACGCUCUGAAUAUAAUAGCAUGGGAUAACACGACAGGACUCUGGCCUAUCGUGUUGGUCUAUAGGACCAGAGUAAUGAUUAAGAGGGACAGUCGGGGGCAUUCGUAUUCCGUUGUCAGAGGUGAAAUUCUUGGAUUUACGGAAGACGAACAUCUGCGAAAGCAUUUGCCAAGGAUGUUUNCAUUG